GAUCCUGCCAGUAGUCAUAUGCUUGUCUCAAAGAUUAAGCCAUGCAUGUCUAAGUGCAAGCCAAAUUAAGGUGAAACCGCGAAAGGCUCAUUAUAUCAGUUAUGGUUCAAUAGGCCGUACCCAGUUACAUGGAUAACUGCGGAAAUACUGGAGCUAAUACAUGCCAACAGAGACCCGACCAGAGAUGGAAGGGCCGCUUUUAUUAGAUCAAAACCAAUCGGUUAGGCUUUCGGGCCGCCGUAUUGUCUUGGUGACUCUGAAUAACCUUGAGCAGAUCGCACGGCCUCCGUGCCGGCGACAGACCUUUCAAAUGUCUGCCUUAUCAACUGUCGAUGGUAGGUUCUGCGCCUACCAUGGUUGUAACGGGUAACGGGGAAUCAGGGUUCGAUUCCGGAGAGGGAGCCUGAGAAACGGCUACCACAUCCAAGGAAGGCAGCAGGCGCGCAAAUUACCCACUCCCAGCUCGGGGAGGUAGUGACGAAAGAUAACGAUACGGGACUCAUCCGAGGCCCCGUAAUCGGAAUGACUACACUUUAAAUCCUUUAAGGAGUAUCAAUUGGAGGGCAAGUCUGGUGCCAGCAGCCGCGGUAAUUCCAGCUCCAAUAGCGUAUAUUAAAGUUGUUGCGGUUAAAAAGCUCGUAGUUGGAUCUGUGCCCAGCACCGUCGGUUCACAGCCCGUCUGUGUUCAACUGACGCGAUGCGAGGCGUCCUGCCGGUGGUCCGUCUAGCCGUCUUGACUCUUCACGGGGUCUCGAAGGGCGGGGCCGUUCAAUCCUGUCGCGGUGCUCUUUACUGAGUGUCGAGGUGGGCCGGCACGUUUACUUUGAACAAAUUAGAGUGCUUCAAGCAGGCUCACAAUCGCCUGAAUGCCAGUGCAUGGAAUAAUGGAAUAGGACCUCGGUUCUAUUUUGUUGGUUUUCGGAACCAGAGGUAAUGAUUAAUGGAGACAGGCGGGGGCAUUCGUAUUGCGACGUUAGAGGUGAAAUUCUUGGAUCGUCGCAAGACGGACCGAAGCGAAAGCAUUUGCCAAGGAUGUUCUCGUUGAUCAAGAACGAAAGUCAGAGGUUCGAAGGCGAUCAGAUACCGCCCUAGUUCUGACCGUAAACUUAUGCCAGCUAGCAAUCCCAGAGUGAUCCUAUGAUGUCCUCUGGGGCGGCUUCCGGGAAACCAAAGCUUUUGGGUUCCGGGGGAAGUAUGGUUGCAAAGCUGAAACUUAAAGGAAUUGACGGAAGGGCACCACCAGGAGUGGAGCCUGCGGCUUAAUUUGACUCAACACGGGAAACCUCACCAGGCCCGGACACUGGAAGGAUUGACAGAUUGAGAGCUCUUUCUUGAUUCAGUGGGUGGUGGUGCAUGGCCGUUCUUAGUUGGUGGAGCGAUUUGUCUGGUUAAUUCCGAUAACGAACGAGACUCUAGCCUGCUAACUAGUCGUUUCCGACAUCCUUUGUGCUGUCGGCGAAGACAAAUCUUCUUAGAGGGACAGGCGGCUUCUAGCCGCACGAGAUUGAGCAAUAACAGGUCUGUGAUGCCCUUAGAUGUUCUGGGCCGCACGCGCGCUACAAUGAAGGUAUCAACGUGUCCUCCCUGGCCGAAAGGUCCGGGUAACCCGCUGAACCACCUUCGUGCUUGGGAUUGGGGCUUGAAAUUGUUCCCCAUAAACGAGGAAUUCCCAGUAAAGGCGUGUCAUUAGCACGCCUUGAUUACGUCCCUGCCCUUUGUACACACCGCCCGUCGCUACUACCGAUUGAAUGAUUUAGUGAGGUCUUCAGACUGGUGCGCGGUGGUCCUUCGGGACUGCCGAUGUCGCCGGAAAGAUGACCAAACUUGAUCAUUUAGAGGAAGUAAAAGUCGUAACAAGGUUUCCGUACGUGAACCU
rnacentral:rRNA from 1 species